rnacentral:Y_RNA from 1 species
GGCUGGUCCGAAGGUAGUGAGUUACCUCAAUUGAUUAUUCACAGUCAGUUACAGAUCAAACUCCUUGUUCUACUCUUUCCCCUCUUCUCACUACUGUACUUGACUAGUUUUUU